rnacentral:piRNA from 1 species
UAGCCCUGGAACGGAAUCAGGUUGGGCA